UACAACUUUCUAGUGUGUCCU
rnacentral:piRNA from 1 species